rnacentral:rRNA from 1 species
UACCAGCACCCCGAGUGGUCGGGACGGUUAUUGGGCCUAAAGCAUCCGUAGCCGGUUCUACAAGUCUUCCGUUAAAUCCAGCUGCUUAACAGAUGGGCUGCGGAAGAUACUAUGGAGCUAGGAGGCGGGAGAGGCAAGCGGUACUCGAUGGGUAGGGGUAAAAUCCGUUGAUCCAUUGAAGACCACCAGUGGCGAAGGCGGCUUGCCAGAACGCGCUCGACGGUGAGGGAUGAAAGCUGGGGGAGCAAACCGG